rnacentral:rRNA from 1 species
AGAGUUUGAUCCUGGCUCAGGACGAACGCUGGCGGCGUGCCUAAUACAUGCAAGUCGAGCGGACAGAUGGGAGCUUGCUCCCUGAUGUUAGCGGCGGACGGGUGAGUAACACGUGGGUAACCUGCCUGUAAGACUGGGAUAACUCCGGGAAACCGGGGCUAAUACCGGAUGGUUGUUUGAACCGCAUGGUUCAAACAUAAAAGGUGGCUUCGGCUACCACUUACAGAUGGACCCGCGGCGCAUUAGCUAGUUGGUGAGGUAACGGCUCACCAAGGCAACGAUGCGUAGCCGACCUGAGAGGGUGAUCGGCCACACUGGGACUGAGACACGGCCCAGACUCCUACGGGAGGCAGCAGUAGGGAAUCUUCCGCAAUGGACGAAAGUCUGACGGAGCAACGCCGCGUGAGUGAUGAAGGUUUUCGGAUCGUAAAGCUCUGUUGUUAGGGAAGAACAAGUACCGUUCGAAUAGGGCGGUACCUUGACGGUACCUAACCAGAAAGCCACGGCUAACUACGUGCCAGCAGCCGCGGUAAUACGUAGGUGGCAAGCGUUGUCCGGAAUUAUUGGGCGUAAAGGGCUCGCAGGCGGUUUCUUAAGUCUGAUGUGAAAGCCCCCGGCUCAACCGGGGAGGGUCAUUGGAAACUGGGGAACUUGAGUGCAGAAGAGGAGAGUGGAAUCCCACGUGUAGCGGUGAAAUGCGUAGAGAUGUGGAGGAACACCAGUGGCGAAGGCGACUCUCUGGUCUGUAACUGACGCUGAGGAGCGAAAGCGUGGGGAGCGAACAGGAUUAGAUACCCUGGUAGUCCACGCCGUAAACGAUGAGUGCUAAGUGUUAGGGGGUUUCCGCCCCUUAGUGCUGCAGCUAACGCAUUAAGCACUCCGCCUGGGGAGUACGGUCGCAAGACUGAAACUCAAAGGAAUUGACGGGGGCCCGCACAAGCGGUGGAGCAUGUAGUUUAAUUCGAAGCAACGCGAAGAACCUUACCAGGUCUUGACAUCCUCUGACAAUCCUAGAGAUAGGACGUCCCCUUCGGGGGCAGAGUGACAGGUGGUGCAUGGUUGUCGUCAGCUCGUGUCGUGAGAUGUUGGGUUAAGUCCCGCAACGAGCGCAACCCUUGAUCUUAGUUGCCAGCAUUCAGUUGGGCACUCUAAGGUGACUGCCGGUGACAAACCGGAGGAAGGUGGGGAUGACGUCAAAUCAUCAUGCCCCUUAUGACCUGGGCUACACACGUGCUACAAUGGACAGAACAAAGGGCAGCGAAACCGCGAGGUUAAGCCAAUCCCACAAAUCUGUUCUCAGUUCGGAUCGCAGUCUGCAACUCGACUGCGUGAAGCUGGAAUCGCUAGUAAUCGCGGAUCAGCAUGCCGCGGUGAAUACGUUCCCGGGCCUUGUACACACCGCCCGUCACACCACGAGAGUUUGUAACACCCGAAGUCGGUGAGGUAACCUUUUAGGAGCCAGCCGCCGAAGGUGGGACAGAUGAUGGGGGAAGUCGUA